rnacentral:tRNA from 1 species
AAGGAUUUAAGUUAAAAAAACUUUUAACCUUCAAAGUUAACAAUAGAAAUUUUCUAAGCCUUA